GCCCGGGUGGCGAAAUGGCAGACGCAACGGACUUAAAAUCCGUUAUCCCUUAUACGGAUGUGGGGGUUCGAGUCCCCCCCCGGGCA
rnacentral:tRNA from 1 species